ACAACAUCUCCAAACCAACAUGGAUAUCUUAUUAACUUGCACUAGAACCCACAGGUUCUCCCCAAGUGAGUUUAUGCUUCCUUCACUGCAAGACAGUGGCAGUGCUAUGAAAGAAACAUAUGUUCACUGGACAAGAAAGUAAGGGAGCAAUAACUCAAAUUUUCUUGCUGAAAUUCUUUUUUGCAGCCUUUCUGUAGCUUAACUGCUAGGCCCAGCCCAAGGUCAUUACAACAGUAACUGUAAUAUCGUAUUAACUGAUGAGUAAAUAUCGAUAAAGGAAAAAAAAGAAGACAAAAAAAGGAAAAAAAAGGAAGAAAAAAAAAGAAAGAAAGAAAGAAAGGGGGAAAAAAAAGCAACACCUAUAAUAUGCAGAGAAUCUCCUUCAUUCACCCAAGUAAACAGGUACAGAAUGGCUCCAACAGUCAGAUUGCCCAGCUGAAGCAUAACAGAAUCUCCAGUACUAGACAAGAAGUGCAGAAUAAAGUAAGAUACUGCAUUUCCUGCUUUAUCUACAACACGAGGGUGAAUGAUGAACUAGCAGAUUUCAGUAAUAUGUUUUGUGGUAUACAAGGUGAUUAUGAGAUUCCAUCUUUUACAGAAGCCAUUCAGUUGAAGUG
rnacentral:lncRNA from 12 species